rnacentral:lncRNA from 1 species
GGGAUCGAACCCAGGGCCUUGUGCAUGCCGGUGAACUCUCUACCACUCAGCUACACCCAGCCCAGGCUCACAUUCUUGGCUGCAUCUUAACUCGGUCAUCUACAAAGACUUUCUCCUGAGGUGCUUGGGCUUAAAACGUCAACAUCUUUUGGGAGGAUGCAGCUCAAUGCGGAGCUUCACUGCCGGAUCCCUACAGAGGCCAUUCCUGACCACCCCACCUAGCACAGCUUCCCUCAGCGGGCAUGGUAGUGCACGCGUGAGAUUCCAGCUCAUGGGAGGCAGAGGCAGGAGAAUCUUGAGUUCAAGUCCACCCUGGACUACACAAGACCCUGUUUCGAAACAAUAACAACAAACAAAACCCUCAAACCAAACCAACCAAAGAAACAGCUUCUUCCAUCCUGUGUCCUCCAGCCCCUGCUCAUUCCUGUCACUCCCUCUUCACAACUGCAAGGAGACAUGAGGUUGUGGGGUUACAGGUGCCAGGUCCUGCAGAUGGCAUAGGUAGACGCUUCGUAAAUGUCUGUGAAAUUAACA